rnacentral:rRNA from 1 species
AUUGAACGCUGGCGGCAGGCCUAACACAUGCAAGUCGAACGAGUGGCGGACGGGUGAGUAAUGUCUGGGAAACUGCCCGAUGGAGGGGGAUAACUACUGGAAACGGUAGCUAAUACCGCAUACCAUCGGAUGUGCCCAGAUGGGAUUAGCUAGUAGGUGGGGUAACGGCUCACCUAGGCGACGAUCCCUAGCUGGUCUGAGAGGAUGACCGGCCACCUUGGAAUGGAGCCACGGUCCAGACCCCUACGGGGGGCAGCAGUGGGGAAUAUUGCACAAUGGGCGCAAGCCUGAUGCAGCCAUGCCGCGUGUAUGAAGAAGGCCUUCGGUUUGUAAAGUACUUUCAGCGGGGAGGCGUUACCCGCAGAAGAAGCACCGGCUAACUCCGAGCCAGCAGCCGCGGGAAUA